rnacentral:rRNA from 1 species
GUAGGGAGCAAACGUUGUCCGGAUUUAUUGGGCGUAAAGGGCUCGUAGGCGGUUCAACAAGUCGGUCGUGAAAACCCGGGGCUCAACCCCGGGACGCCGGUCGAAACUGUUGUGACUAGAGUUCGGUAGAGGUGAGUGGAAUUCUCGGUGUAGCGGUGGAAUGCGCAGAUAUCGAGAGGAACACCAUUAGCGAAGGCGGCUCACUGGGCCGAUACUGACGCUGAGGAGCGAAAGCGUGGGGAGCAAACAGGAUUAGAUACCCUGGUAGUCCACGCCGUAAACGAUGAACACUAGGUGUGGCGGACUGAUUCAUGUCGGCUGCGCCGUAGCUAACGCAUUAAGUGUUCCGCCUGGGGAGUACGGCCGCAAGGCUA